AACGAACGCUGGCGGCAUGCCUAACACAUGCAAGUCGAACGAGACCUUCGGGUCUGGUGGCGCACGGGUGCGUAACGCGUGGGAACCUGCCCUUAGGUUCGGAAUAACUCCCCGAAAGGGGUGCUAAUACCGGAUAAUGUCUUCGGACCAAAGAUUUAUCGCCUUUGGAUGGGCCCGCGUUGGAUUAGCUAGUUGGUAGGGUAAAAGCCUACCAAGGCGACGAUCCAUAGCUGGUCUGAGAGGAUGAUCAGCCACACUGGGACUGAGACACGGCCCAGAAUCCUACGGGAGGCAGCAGUGGGGAAUAUUGGACAAUGGGCGAAAGCCUGAUCCAGCAAUGCCGCGUGAGUGAUGAAGGCCUUAGGGUUGUAAAGCUCUUUUACCCGGGAUGAUAAUGACAGUACCGGGAGAAUAAGCUCCGGCUAACUCCGUG
rnacentral:rRNA from 1 species